AAAGACUCUGAAGCACUUGGUUUGAGACGUUUAACCCAUCGGGUACACGGAUCCAAUCCUGAUGGACCCUCCGCACAAGCGUUAGAUUUUGCAUUUGUGGGAUGUUCAGCAUGGGAAAGGAAGUGUUCCACAUCUAAACUCUGGGUUCUCGAGGUGCUUCUCUCUGCAUCAUCUGCUGAAUUUGCCACACCUGAGAUUACAGGAAUU
rnacentral:misc_RNA from 1 species